GACGAACGCUGGCGGCGUGCUUAACACAUGCAAGUCGAACGGUAAGGCCCUGUUUUUGUGGGGUUCUCGAGUGGCGAACGGGUGAGUAACACGUGAGUAGCCUGCGCUUGACUUUGGGAUAACUUCAGGAAACUGGGGCUAUUACCGGAUAUGACCUCCUUCUGCAUGGUGGGGGUGGGAAAGUUUCGCCGGUUGGUGAUGGACACGCGGCUUAUCAGCUUGUUGGCGAGGUAGUGGAUUACCAAGGCUUUGACGGGUAGCCGGCCUGAGAGUGUGACCGGCCACAUUGGGACUGGGAUACGGGCAGGAGUCCUACGGGAGGCAGCAGUGGGGAAUAUUGCAUGAUGGGCGGCAGGAUGAUGGAGCAACGCCGCGUGCGGGAUGACGGCCUUCGGGUUGUAACCCGCUUUCGCCUGUGACGAAGCGUGAGUGACGGUAAUGGGCAAAGAAGCACCGGCUAACUACGUG
rnacentral:rRNA from 1 species